UACGUAGGUGGCAAGCGUUGUUCGGAAUCAUUGGGCGUAAAGCGCACGUAGGCGGCUCCAAAAGUCGGAUGUGAAAUCCCUGGGCUCAACCGAGGAAGUGCAUCCGAAACUGCGGAGCUUGAGUAUGGAAGAGGGUCGCGGAAUUCCCGGUGUAGAGGUGAAAUUCGUAGAUAUCGGGAGGAACACCAGUGGCGAAGGCGGCGACCUGGGCCAAUACUGACGCUGAGGUGCGAAAGCGUGGGGAGCAAACAGG
rnacentral:rRNA from 1 species